GUGUCAGCCGCCGCGGUAAUACGAAGGGUGCAAGCGUUAAUCGGAAUUACUGGGCGUAAAGCGUGCGUAGGCGGUUUGUUAAGUCAGAUGUGAAAGCCCCGGGCUCAACCUGGGAACUGCAUUUGAUACUGGCAGGCUAGAGUACGGUAGAGGGUGGUGGAAUUCCCGGUGUAGCGGUGAAAUGCGUAGAGAUCGGGAGGAACAUCCGUGGCGAAGGCGGCCACCUGGACCAGUACUGACGCUGAGGCACGAAAGCGUGGGGAGCAAACAGGAUUAGAUACCCUGGUAGUCC
rnacentral:rRNA from 1 species